AAAGGGUGCGUAGGCGGUUUCGCAAGUCUUGUGUGAAAUCUAUGGGCUCAACCCAUAGUCUGCACGGGAAACUGCGAGGCUUGAGGAUGGGAGAGGUGAGUGGAAUUUCCGGUGUAGCGGUGAAAUGCGUAGAUAUCGGAAGGAACACCUGUGGCGAAAGCGGCUCACUGGACCAUUUCUGACGCUGAUGCACGAAAGCUAGGGGAGCAAACAGGAUUAGAUACCCCUGU
rnacentral:rRNA from 1 species